rnacentral:tRNA from 1 species
AGGUGCUGGCCGAACGGCCAUGACAAUUCCCUGACACGGAAGUGGUCACUGGUUCGAUCCUGGUACCGCCCACCA